ensembl:misc_RNA 7SK 7SK RNA
AUAUGUGAGGCUGAUCUGGCUGCUGUACCUGUGAGUCCGUCAAUUGAUAGGGCUGAUCUGGCUGAUCUGAAGGGUGAGCGUCUCCUUCAUCUGGUCCUCAUUAAGCUGUGGGCAGCCCUCCAAAAGCUGAAUGCUCUUUCAAAAGAGGAUGCCCUUCCCAGAUAGGAAGGGCUAUUCUUUGGUCAAAAGUAUACAGGUGCUAUACUGAUGAUGUGAAAAAACAGCUUUUGGGCUCCUCUGCCGACAUUGUUCCAUAAGCUUUUCUUAAAUUCUGGAGUGUUCAAGGCAUGAUCUAGGUCUAU